rnacentral:rRNA from 1 species
ACUUAAAUUGAAGAGUUUGAUCAUGGCUCAGAUUGAACGCUGGCGGCAGGCCUAACACAUGCAAGUCGAGCGGUAGCACAGAGAGCUUGCUCUCGGGUGACGAGCGGCGGACGGGUGAGUAAUGUCUGGGAAACUGCCUGAUGGAGGGGGAUAACUACUGGAAACGGUGGCUAAUACCGCAUAAUGUCGCAAGACCAAAGUGGGGGACCUUCGGGCCUCAUGCCAUCAGAUGUGCCCAGAUGGGAUUAGCUAGUAGGUGGGGUAACGGCUCACCUAGGCGACGAUCCCUAGCUGGUCUGAGAGGAUGACCAGCCACACUGGAACUGAGACACGGUCCAGACUCCUACGGGAGGCAGCAGUGGGGAAUAUUGCACAAUGGGCGCAAGCCUGAUGCAGCCAUGCCGCGUGUGUGAAGAAGGCCUUCGGGUUGUAAAGCACUUUCAGCGGGGAGGAAGGCGUUAAGGUUAAUAACCUUGGCGAUUGACGUUACCCGCAGAAGAAGCACCGGCUAACUCCGUGCCAGCAGCCGCGGUAAUACGGAGGGUGCAAGCGUUAAUCGGAAUUACUGGGCGUAAAGCGCACGCAGGCGGUCUGUCAAGUCGGAUGUGAAAUCCCCGGGCUCAACCUGGGAACUGCAUUCGAAACUGGCAGGCUAGAGUCUUGUAGAGGGGGUAGAAUUCCAGGUGUAGCGGUGAAAUGCGUAGAGAUCUGGAGGAAUACCGGUGGCGAAGGCGGCCCCCUGGACAAAGACUGACGCUCAGGUGCGAAAGCGUGGGGAGCAAACAGGAUUAGAUACCCUGGUAGUCCACGCCGUAAACGAUGUCGAUUUGGAGGUUGUGCCCUUGAGGCGUGGCUUCCGGAGCUAACGCGUUAAAUCGACCGCCUGGGGAGUACGGCCGCAAGGUUAAAACUCAAAUGAAUUGACGGGGGCCCGCACAAGCGGUGGAGCAUGUGGUUUAAUUCGAUGCAACGCGAAGAACCUUACCUGGUCUUGACAUCCACAGAACUUUCCAGAGAUGGAUUGGUGCCUUCGGGAACUGUGAGACAGGUGCUGCAUGGCUGUCGUCAGCUCGUGUUGUGAAAUGUUGGGUUAAGUCCCGCAACGAGCGCAACCCUUAUCCUUUGUUGCCAGCGGUUAGGCCGGGAACUCAAAGGAGACUGCCAGUGAUAAACUGGAGGAAGGUGGGGAUGACGUCAAGUCAUCAUGGCCCUUACGACCAGGGCUACACACGUGCUACAAUGGCAUAUACAAAGAGAAGCGACCUCGCGAGAGCAAGCGGACCUCAUAAAGUAUGUCGUAGUCCGGAUUGGAGUCUGCAACUCGACUCCAUGAAGUCGGAAUCGCUAGUAAUCGUAGAUCAGAAUGCUACGGUGAAUACGUUCCCGGGCCUUGUACACACCGCCCGUCACACCAUGGGAGUGGGUUGCAAAAGAAGUAGGUAGCUUAACCUUCGGGAGGGCGCUUACCACUUUGUGAUUCAUGACUGGGGUGAAGUCGUAACAAGGUAACCGUAGGGGAACCUGCGGUUGGAUCACCUCCUUACCUUAAAGAA